CAGGUGGACACUUCAGAUGAAACUGUUGGCUACCAGGGCUCCUGCCUCUCCAAAAUGAUUGUAACGGUCUAUUAACCAGCAAUGUAGAAAAGUUUCCUCUGCCUCUGUCUUUGCUGUAUGAGCUUGCUGAAGCUGCUAUAACUGAAUAGCAGACUGGCCUAAACAACAGAAAUUUACUUUCUCAUAUUUCUGGAGACUAGAAGAUCAAGAUCAAAGUGUUGAUUGCAGCAGGCCCUCGGAGCUGGACCACCUGACUCCAGUCUGCCCACCUCUUCCUGGACCGGCACACAGUGCUAUGUGGAUGACCCUUCUAAACUGCAAAUGUCAUCAUGUCACUUUCCCGUGUACCACCUGUCGUUCCCCCGACUUAAGAUUAAAGUAAAAUCCUUCUGGUUUUGCAUGCCAGGUCUUGCA